rnacentral:rRNA from 1 species
CAAGACUAAAACUUCAAAGGAAUUGACGGGGGCCCGCACAAGCAGCGGAGCAUGUGGUUUAAUUCGAAGCAACGCGAAGAACCUUACCAGGACUUGACAUCCUAAGAAUCCUGUAGAGACACAGGAGUGCCCUUCGGGGAACUUAGAGACAGGUGGUGCAUGGUUGUCGUCAGCUCGUGUCGUGAGAUGUUGGGUUAAGUCCCGCAACGAGCGCAACCCCUGUUGUUAGUUGCUACCAUUAAGUUGAGCACUCUAACGAGACUGCCGAGGUUAACUCGGAGGAAGGUGGGGAUGACGUCAAAUCAUCAUGCCCUUUAUGUCCUGGGCUACACACGUGCUACAAUGGCUACUACAACGAGAUGCAAUGCAGCGAUGCGGAGCAAAUCUUCAAAAGUAGUCCCAGUUCGGAUUGUAGGCUGCAACUCGCCUACAUGAAGCCGGAGUUGCUAGUAAUCGCGGAUCAGAAUGCCGCGGUGAAUACGUUCCCGGGCCUUGUACACACCGCCCGUCACACCAUGAGAGUCGGCAACACCCGAAGUCAGUGGGCUAACGCGUAAGCGAGGCAGCUGCCGAAGGUGGGGUCGAUGAUUGGGGUGAAGUCGUAACAAGGUAGCCGUAA